rnacentral:rRNA from 1 species
AUUAGUGAUACGCCUGUUGGGUAGGGGAGCGUUGUGUAAGCGGAAGAAGGUUCAUCGAGAGGUGGGCUGGACGUAUCACAAGUGCGAAUGCUGACAUAAGUAACGAUAAAACGGGUGAAAAACCCGUUCGCCGGAAGACCAAGGGUUCCUGUCCAACGUUAAUCGGGGCAGGGUGAGUCGGCUCCUAAGGCGAGGCUGAAAAGCGUAGUCGAUGGGAAACAGGUUAAUAUUCCUGUACUUGGUAAAGCUGCGAUGUGGGGACGGAGUAGGUUAGGUUAUCGCACUGUUGGAUAUGUGCGUUUAAGUUGGUAGGUGGGAAGUUUAGGCAAAUCCGGACUUCCUUAACACAGAGAGAUGAUGACGAGGCUCUACGGAGCUGAAGUAACUGAUACCACGCUUCCAGGAAAAGCCACUAAGCGAAAGGCUUUACUAAACCGUACUGAAAACCGACACAGGUGGUCAGGUAGAGAAUACUCAGGCGCUUGAGAGAACUCGGGUGAAGGAACUAGGCAAAAUAGCACCGUAACUUCGGGAGAAGGUGCGCCGGCGUAGAUUGUAGUCCCUAGCGGGCGAAGGUUGAACCGGUCGAAGAUACCAGCUGGCUGCAACUGUUUAUUAAAAACACAGCACUCUGCAAACACGAAAGUGGACGUAUAGGGUGUGAUGCCUGCCCGGUGCUGGAAGGUUAAUUGAUGGUGUCAUCGCAAGAGAAGCACCUGAUCGAAGCCCCAGUAAACGGCGGCCGUAACUAUAACGGUCCUAAGGUAGCGAAAUUCCUUGUCGGGUAAGUUCCGACCUGCACGAAUGGCAUAAUGAUGGCCAGGCUGUCUCCACCCGAGACUCAGUGAAAUUGAAAUCGCCGUGAAGAUGCGGUGUACCCGCGGCUAGACGGAAAGACCCCGUGAACCUUUACUAUAGCUUGACACUGAACAUUGAAUUUUGAUGUGUAGGAUAGGUGGGAGACUUAGAAGCAGUCACGCCAGUGAUUGUGGAGUCGUCCUUGAAAUACCACCCUUUAACGUUUGAUGUUCUAACGAAGAUUGCGGAACGCGGUCUCGGACAGUGUCUGGUGGGUAGUUUGACUGGGGCGGUCUCCUCCCAAAGCGUAACGGAGGAGCACGAAGGUUUGCUAAUCACGGUCGGACAUCGUGAGGUUAGUGCAAUGGUAUAAGCAAGCUUAACUGCGAGACAGACAAGUCGAGCAGGUACGAAAGUAGGUCAUAGUGAUCCGGUGGUUCUGAAUGGAAGGGCCAUCGCUCAACGGAUAAAAGGUACUCCGGGGAUAACAGGCUGAUACCGCCCAAGAGUUCAUAUCGACGGCGGUGUUUGGCACCUCGAUGUCGGCUCAUCACAUCCUGGGGCUGAAGUAGGUCCCAAGGGUAUGGCUGUUCGCCAUUUAAAGUGGUACGCGAGCUGGGUUUAGAACGUCGUGAGACAGUUCGGUCCCUAUCUGCCGUGGGCGUUGGAUGAUUGAUUGGGGCUGCUCCUAGUACGAGAGGACCGGAGUGGACGCACCACUGGUGUUCCGGUUGUGUCGCCAGACGCAUUGCCGGGUAGCUAAGUGCGGAAGAGAUAAGUGCUGAAAGCAUCUAAGCACGAAACUUGCCAAGAGAUGAGUCAUCCCUGACUUUAAGUCAGUAAGGGUUGUUGUAGACUACGACGUAGAUAGGUCUGGUGUGUAAGUGUAGUGAUACAUUGAGCUAACAGAUACUAAUUGCCCGAGAGGCUUAACUAUACAACGCUCAAG